rnacentral:rRNA from 1 species
GUGUCAGCAGCCGCGGUAAUACGGAGGGUGCAAGCGUUAUCCGGAUUUACUGGGUUUAAAGGGUGCGUAGGCGGGCAGAUAAGUCAGUGGUGAAAUCCCCGGGCUCAACCUGGGAACUGCCGUUGAUACUAUUUGUCUUGAAUACCGUGGAGGUGAGCGGAAUAUGUCAUGUAGCGGUGAAAUGCUUAGAUAUGACAUAGAACACCGAUUGCGAAGGCAGCUCACUACGCGGUCAUUGACGCUGAGGCACGAAAGCGUGGGGAUCAAACAGGAUUAGAUACCCUGGUAGUCCACGCCCUAAACGAUGAUCACUCGACAUACGCGAUAUACAGUGUGUGUCUGAGCUAAAGCAUUAAGUGAUCCACCUGGGAAGUACGAUCGCAAGAUUGAA